CAUUGUAUUCCUUACUUUUGAGCUUAAUGAGAAUAAACUUUUCUAAUUCAGAAAAUUAUUCUCUCUUGAAAGUCAUUGGCUAGAGAGUCCAAAGACCUCUAGCCUCCUUCCAAAGCACACUUCUAUUUUUCAUUUCUCCAUUAAUUUCCAUGGUGCUUCUCACUCAUCCACGCUGAUCCACUCUCUCGCUGCCACCUCCUCUGCCUGUGUCAGCCC
rnacentral:lncRNA from 1 species